UGCCGGAUCGUCUAACGGUAGGACUACGCCCUUUGGAGGCGUCUGUGUAGGUUCGAAUCCUGCUCCGGCAGC
rnacentral:tRNA from 1 species